rnacentral:lncRNA from 1 species
GGAACAGGCAUGUCUGGACCUUGUUGACGGGGAGAUCUUCUGGGAGUCUUGCUCCUCCUUCCAAGAUUUGGGCAGGACUGAACCUUGAUCUCACCCCUGCCCUGUUUAUGCAGGGAUAGCCAGUAUGGCAAGUUUCAGGUAGUUUUAACUGCAACUCCCAUAAUCUCCAGCUGGCAUGGCCAGUGGGUAGGGAUGAUGGGAAUUCGAGUCCACAACACCUGGCUACUAUCUCAUGAGCUCAUAUUGUUGUUGCCAGGUUUGUGAUCUGAAUGAUGGUGUGAUGCUAAAUAUCUGUUCCCUUUUCUCUCCCAGACACUGUGGAAUAUGGACUUCAGCUGCGAAAAGGUACAUUUCCGGGUCAAGCAGAGACACUAAUUCGGGAGAGAGGGGAUCCACUUAUCAAAAGACCAGGCCACCGCAGCUCUUCCUUCCAUGCCUUAUUUCCCCUUAUUUCCCAGAGGCAUCUGUUCCGUGAGAGCAGCAUGCUGGGCUAGAUGGGCUCUUGGACUGAUCCUGCAGACUCUUAGGAAGCCCCCAACCCAGGAUGCCUGGCUUUUCUGUGCCGAAUCUCAAUAAGACACAGGGUUACAUAUGCUUCAGGUUACAUACGCUUCAGGUUACAUACUCCGCUAACCCAGAAAUAGUGUUUCAGGUUAAGAACUUUGCUUCAGGAUGAGAACAGAAAUCUUGCUCCGGCAGCGUGGCGGCAGCAGGAGGCCCCAUUAGCUAAAGUGGUGAUUCUGGUUAAGAACAGUUUCAGGUUAAGUACGGACCUACGGAACGAAUUAAGUACUUAACCCGAGGUACCAUUGUACUUAACCUGAGGUACCACUGUACUUAACCUGAGGUACCACUGUAUUUACAGCAGCAAACAUACAAGUCUAUCUGCGUUACGACUUCUUCACUCUCAGCAACUCCUCAGCACUAACCACACCACACUAACACUCACUCAGACCAGUGUUAUAGGUCAUGCCUAUAUAAGGGACCUCAGCCAAUCACUGGGUUGUUGCUGGGUCUCCUUACUGCUAGGCAGAUUCCUUUCACGCUCUGUCUUCCCACGCUGUGGAGAUUGUAAUUGCUAACUUGCAAAGCUGCAUGCAAACCACGGAUUCCAACACUUCCAACUCUACGAUUCUGUGAUGUGAUGUCAAGAAUCCCAAGAAGGACAUGUCACACAGGGGGGUCAGGGAAGGCUAACCACUUUCUAGCUUUUUAUAAACUACCUGGAAGGAUGGGCUAUAACAUUACAUUAAAUAUGUAACUGAAAUUAGAAUGGUGGUUACAAAGAGGGUGAAAACACCUACCAGAUUUACCUGGCAUGUCAAGCAUGGUCUGUCAUGUGAUGUGAGGUAGAAUAUUAAGAUGCGAAUUAGGGAGUCCUUGCUAUGACGCCCUUCUACCAUGAACUCUAUGGGGUGGGGGGUGGUCUUCAACAAGCCAAUGUCUUUCAGCCUCAGUCCUCCCAUCUGAAAAAUGGGCAUAGUAAGAUUGACUUAACUUACAGGGAAGUUUCAAGGGUUCUAUGUAGAUCAUUUGUGUUAAGUGCUUUGAACCCUUGAAAGAACUGAAAAUGUUUCAAGAACUUGGUAAACAUCCCUGUCUCGAAUGCAGAGCCAUGGAGUCCCUGUUCAUUUUUGAGGGAAUUACAUUUCUGUCUAAAGAAAAGUCAGCUUCCCAGUUGACGUCAUUUCUCUUCUCUUUCCUCCUCUGCCCCCACAGAAAAAGUAACUUUGGAUCCAGACACAGCACAUCCCCUCCUCAUCCUGUCUGAGGAUCGAAAGAGUGUGAGACAGAGAGAAGUGCGUCAAGACCUGCCAGACAACCCUGAGAGAUUUGACAGAUACGGCCAUGUGCUGGGAUGUGAGAGUUUCACAUCAGGCCGACAUUUCUGGGAGGUCAUUGUGGGAAGAGAAGAGGGGUGGGGGGUGGGGGUGGCCAGAAAGUCUGUGAAGAGGAAGGGCAAGUUCUCUUUUG